rnacentral:rRNA from 1 species
GGUGUAGGCGGCUUUAUAAGUCAGGUGUGAAAUCCCAGAGCUCAACUCUGGAAGUGCACUUGAUACUGUUUAGCUUGAGUGUGGUAGAGGCUAUUGGAAUUCCUGGUGUAGUGGUAAAAUACGUAGAUAUCAGGAGGAAUACCGGAGGCGAAGGCGGAUAGCUGGGCCAACACUGACGCUGAGACCCGAAAGCGUGGGGAUCAAACA